rnacentral:rRNA from 1 species
GACAGCAGCCGCCGCGGUAAUACGUAGGUCCCGAGCGUUGUCCGGAUUUAUUGGGCGUAAAGCGAGCGCAGGCGGUUAGAUAAGUCUGAAGUUAAAGGCUGUGGCUUAACCAUAGUACGCUUUGGAAACUGUUUAACUUGAGUGCAAGAGGGGAGAGUGGAAUUCCAUGUGUAGCGGUGAAAUGCGUAGAUAUAUGGAGGAACACCGGUGGCGAAAGCGGCUCUCUGGCUUGUAACUGACGCUGAGGCUCGAAAGCGUGGGGAGCAAACAGGAUUAGAUACCCCCGUAGUCCCUGUCUCUUAUACA